CCUCCAAAUAUUUUGAAUCCCCACACCCAAAUUAAAGUUACCCUAGCCCGCUCACUUCUCCCAACCGAAUUGAUCAUCAGCAUUUGCUCUGUACCGUCUCCCCUAAAUUGAUCGUCGCUAAAUCGAUCUCUCGUUUGCAACUCUGUUGGAAAUCAUCCUCUUCGCUCUUUAAUCAUCAUCGUAAGUACAGGUUGUCUUGACCUUGAAUCGUUAUAGCUGAGCGGAGUUUUACUUUUGGCUACUAAAACAAAUCCCAAUUGUUCCCGUGUUCCACCAAUUGUUUAGGCCUUUUGAAACUGCUCCAGCUAGGUACCAUUAUUCAAUUUUUUUUCUUUUUUGUAAGAAACGUAUUUGUUUUGACAAGUUACCUCAAUACUCACACAUGUAUAUAUAUUCUAAUUAGCAUUUUCUUUAUAUUUAUUCCUUUUAGAUAUGUAGCCUUUUGCUUCACUUAUGGAGUCUCAUAAUGAAUUAGUAUUGUGGUUUUUUCGGUUUAGCUUUAAAAUGAGCAUAUAUAAAUGAACUCAAGUUUUCUAGUCAUUAAGAUUUUUAUAAGGCAAUGAAUGGUCUGAUCAAAUUGGUCAAGCAUCAUGGCUUUUGAAUUUUCACUGUUAAUUAUUUGAUUUUUAUUUCCCAUAAGGAUGGAUAAUGGGUUAACUAGAUUAGUUGUUACUAGUGUUUGGUUGAGCACAGAAGGUGCACAGCAUCUCCAGGUUUGAAGUCAUUCAUAUGAGUUUUUGUUAUCAAAAGUUAAUACACAUUUUGUAUUAUAAAGUAAAAGUCAUCUACCGGUAAAAGUUUGAUUUUAUAGUAUCUUUUACGUGUUUAGGAAAGAGUUAGCAUGACAUGUUGGGCCAACUUAUUCAUGAUGAGGAUGACCCAACUGUUUCCAUACUAUAGACAACAACGGUUUCAGAAUAUUGUGUUGUGUUUCAUGACAAAACUAACAUGUUUGGAGAAGAUCUGAGUCUUACAUAUGGUUCUGUGUUGUUCAUGAUGCUCAAAGCUCAAUAUCCAUGGAGGUAGCGUACUGUUUUCAAGUUUUGGUUUAUUUUAUUGUAGUUUCUACAACUUGACAUGUUUCUUAUUGCUAGAAAUCCAAUGUGCAUAUCAAAUACAAACACCAUACCUAGAGCGGUUUGUUCAUUUGGAAUUUGACAUCUCUAAUUCCGGAUUAUCGUAAGUUAUUUUUCAAUACCAUAGCUUGAUCACACCAAUUAAAAUCGAUUUUUUUUAUUUCAGAUACGAAAAUGGGAACAUGUUGGAGCCUAGUGUGAGAGCCUAUGUGAAGUUGUGGAUGAGGCUCUAAUAUAAUUACAUUACACCAAACAACAUGUUUUAGAGAUUUUUAUUUGUUCUAUUGACUUGUUUUGUAUUCAUGUAUUGUAGCAUACUAUGUUUGGAUUUAUAUUUGUAUUGAAUAUAUUUUUGGUAAUCUAAGUUUUGUAUUCA